UGCUCUGGAGGAUAAAGUUACUCAGUAACUACAGCCAUAAAUUGUAGGGCAUAAUUCUUUAUUGUGAAAGAAAUGUUUGGUCUAGAUCUACUACUGAGUAUAUAUAUAUAUAUGCUAGAUAUUGCUUCGUUUCUCACAGCAGUUUUGUCCAGGCACACCCUGGGCUGUUCCCGGCCAAAUAAACCACUCUGCGUGAAUUAUUUUCACAGCUUUAUCUUUACCAACUGGUGAAAGUGGAUUGAUUUCCUAAGUGUUAUUGUACCAGAGCUAAUUCACCUGAUACAGAGGGCCUGGAUGGGAUCACCUACAUGAAAACUCCUUCUGGUCCACCAUGUCCACUUUACUCUGACCUGGCAACAUGGUAGAAUUCCUGCUACAGGUCAUUGCCUCUGCUGAUAAGAUGCAACCAAUUACUGAAGUGGAAAAUUGCUCUGACCUGACAUUGUUUUGUUUUCCAUGAAAAUAACCUUUAAAACAGGACCUAAACUCAUUCACUAACAACUUGCCGAAGGCAACACUACAAGUAGAUGGGGAAACUGUUGAGGCCAAACAGGACUGCUGCACCACAUGAGGGCCACAUAUAUUGGUAUUACUGGAAACAGGAAAACUGGAAAUCGGGCAUUAUAGGGUUAAUAUGAUGUAACCGUCAUGUUAAAGCCCUCGGUCCACCCAUAAGAUGUAGAAACGCUGGAUCACACUACUCAUCCCUGCCAAGUCACUGCUAUUGAUAUCUCUCCAUCUGUCUGUAGCCUACUGCUGUAUGAAUACCAGAGCGCCACCAUCAUGAUGGAGGUCAGAAGGAAUUUUAUAAUGCCUGUAGUUACCACCUACACUCACCAAAACAACACAGGCCUGUGUACUCAUGCAUGAGUGAAUAUGUUAUAGCAGGGGGAUUUUGUGCUGCUCUCCCAGUUAAAAAAUGGGAGGUUGUCCCCAGAAGCUGCUGCUGUUCCCGGUCUUGGCUUUCAUGGAGCUCAUGAAAAGGACGGGGAAUUUAGAACAGAGCCAUACCGCCAAAUUGUAACUUUAGCAAAAUAUGCCAAUAAAAAUUU